GUGAUAAACGCGUGGGAAACGUGCCCCAAGGUUACGGAACAACCUCCGUGGAAACUGGAGCUAAUACCUGUAUGUGUCCCGAGAGGGGAAAGAGCUUAUCGCCUUGGGAUCGGCCCGCGUCUUGAUUAGCUAUGAUUGGAUAGGGUAAGUGGACCUACCAAGGCUACGAUCAGUAGCUGGUCUGAUGAGGAUGGCCAGCCACACUGGGACUGAGACACGGUCCAGACUCAAACGGGAGGCAGCAGUGGGGAAUAUUGGACAAUGGGCGAAAGCCUGAUCCAGCCAUGCCGCGUGAGUGAUGAAGGCCUUAGGGUUGUAAAGCUCUUUCGGCGGGGACGAUAAUGACGGUACCCGCAGAAGAAGCCCCGGCUAACUUCGUGCCAGCCGCCGCGG
rnacentral:rRNA from 1 species